UGGGGAAUUUUGGACAAUGGGGGCAACCCUGAUCCCGCAAUGCCGCGUGUGUGAAGAAGGCCUUCGGGUUGUAAAGCACUUUUGUCCGGAAAGAAAACUUCGGGGCUAAUACCCCUGGAGGAUGACGGUACCGGAAGAAUAAGCACCGGCUAACUACGUGCCAGCAGCCGCGGUAAUACGUAGGGUGCGAGCGUUAAUCGGAAUUACUGGGCGUAAAGCGUGCGCAGGCGGUGCUGUAAGACCGCUGUGAACUCCCCGGGCUUAACCUGGGAACUGCAUUGGUUACUUCAGCGCUGGAGUAUGGCAGAGUGGGGUAGAAUUCCACGUGUAGCAGUGAACUGCGUCGAGAUGUGGAGGAACACCGAUGGCGAAGGCAGCCCCCUGGGCCAAUACUGACGCUCAUGCACGAAAGCGUGGGGAGCAAACAGG
rnacentral:rRNA from 1 species